rnacentral:rRNA from 1 species
GGGGGGCAAGCGUUGUUCGGAAUUACUGGGCGUAAAGGGUUCGUAGGUGGCUCGCUAAGUCAGACGUGAAAUCCCUCAGCUUAACUGGGGAACUGCGUCUGAGACUGGCGAGCUUGAGUGCAGGAGAGGAACGCGGAAUUCCAGGUGUAGCGGUGAAAUGCGUAGAUAUCUGGAGGAACACCGGUGGCGAAGGCGGCGUUCUGGACUGCAACUGACACUGAGGAACGAAAGCCAGGGUAGCAAACGGGAUUAGAUACCCCGGUAGUCCUGGCCCUAAACGAUGAAUGCUUGGUGUGGCGGGUAUCGAUCCCUGCCGUGCCGAAGUUAACGCGUUAAGCAUUCCGCCUGGGGAGUACGGUCGCAAGGCUG